CUACGGGUUGCUGCAGUGGGGAAUAUUGGACAAUGGGGGAAACCCUGAUCCAGCAAUGCCGCGUGUGUGAAGAAGGCCUGCGGGUUGUAAAGCACUUUCGGUUGGGAGGACUGCUUCUAGCACUAAUAUUGUUGGAAGUUGACGUUACCUUCAGAAGAAGCACCGGCUAACUCCGUGCCAGCAGCCGCGGUAAUACGGAGGGUGCAUGCGUUAAUCGGAAUUACUGGGCGUAAAGCGCGCGUAGGCGGCUAGAUCAGUCGGGUGUGAAAGCCCCGGGCUUAACCUGGGAACUGCAUCCGAUACUGUCUAGCUUGAGUACAGGAGAGGAGAGUGGAAUUCCACAUGUAGCGGUGAAAUGCGUAGAUAUGUGGAGGAACACCAAUGGCGAAGGCAGCUCUCUGGCCUGAUACUGACGCUGAGGUGCGAAAGCGUGGGGAGCAAACAGGAUUAGAUACCCUUGUAGUC
rnacentral:rRNA from 1 species